UGCCUUGACAUACCAUAGCCUGCUUGGCUUGUGCGCCCUCCAUAUUUUUCUUCACCAGUUCACACAGGGCUUCUUUUAGUACUCUUAGAGGUCCUCUCACAUGACAACCAUAUUAAAGCUCAAAUGGGAAGAACCCAGUGAAUGCUUGUGGAACCUCCCACCAUGGCAAACCCAUCAUUUCAUGUUUCCUAACUUCAUGGUGGACCUAACUAUAUUAGUAGAACUACGACCCAUAUAAACUCAAAACAUACCUGUGGGCUUGACUAUUGGUCUGGGCCUCAAAUCCACUUUUUCCUC